GCUGCUGGGCCUGAUCCAACUCUCACUGAAGUCAAUGGGAGUCUCUCCAUUGACACCAAUGGGAGUCGGAUUGGGCCCUAAAAGC
rnacentral:pre_miRNA from 1 species